rnacentral:rRNA from 1 species
UUUAAGGUUUGAUCUGCUGGAUGUGGUUUGAUAAAUGGCCGCGGUACCCUGACCGUGCUAAGGUAGCGUAAUCAGUUGGCUUUUAAAUGGAGUCAGGUAUGAAUGGGAGGACCGGGCCCGGCUGUCUCCAAACUACUAAGUUGAAUUUACUGUUUAAGUGAAAAAGCUUAAGAGUAGAAAAGGGACGAGAAGACCCUUAGAAUUUUUUCUAAAGUGAGAAUGUGCUUAUAAUGAUUUUGUUGGGGCGACAAAGAAAUAAUCAAAACUUUCUUUUCUUCACGCCGGCUAUGUCAAGAAGGAAUAAAUUACCUGAGGGAUAACAGCAUAAUUUUAUAAAUAAGUUUGUGACCUCCAUGUUGGA